rnacentral:rRNA from 1 species
UACGAGGGGUCUAAGCGUUGUUCGGAAUCACUGGGCGUAAAGCGGGUGUAGGUGGCUAAGCCAGUCACAUGUGAAAGCCCCGGGCUCAACCCGGGAAGUGCAUGUGAUACUACUUAGCUUGAGUACGGGAGAGGGAAACAGAAUUCCUGGUGUAGUGGUGAAAUACGUAGAUAUCAGGAGGAACACCGGUGGCGAAGGCGGUUUCCUGGCCCAGUACUGACACUCAGACCCGAAAGCGUGGGUAGCAAACAGG